GAGAGGAAGCCUUGGUAAAGCUCUAAAUUUUGCUAAGUGUAAUGUGAUGGCCUGGGUUCAUGUCAAGGGACACUUAUUGAUACCAACUGACCUUGAAGACUUGUACCAAAUUCUGUAAUUUCCAACAAAAAGUCCAACGAGGGAAAAAACUAAGAUGUGUAUUUCAUGAUAUAAAACAUAUGCUAACACUACCCAAAGGAUCACAAGCCACCUCAAGUACAGUGAGCUUCCUGUUUCCAAGAGCACUCACUGGAGCGGAUGACUGACACAGAUUCAACAGAAAGGGGACCGCAAUGAGUGGU